rnacentral:rRNA from 1 species
UACGUAGGGUGCGAGCGUUAAUCGGAAUUACUGGGCGUAAAGUGUGCGCAGGCGGCUUCGCAAGUCGAGUGUGAAAUCCCCGAGCUUAACUUGGGAAUUGCGCUCGAAACUACGGAGCUGGAGUGUGGCAGAGGAAGGUGGAAUUCCACGUGUAGCGGUGAAAUGCGUAGAGAUGUGGAGGAACACCAGUGGCGAAGGCGGCUCUCUGGGACGGUACUGACGCUGAGACGCGAAAGCGUGGGGAGCGAACAGG